rnacentral:rRNA from 1 species
UACGUAGGGGGCUAGCGUUGUCCGGAAUCAUUGGGCGUAAAGCGCGUGUAGGCGGUUCGGUAAGUCUGCUGUGAAAGUCGGGGGCUCAACCCUCGAAUGCCGGUGGAUACUGUCGGACUAGAGUGCGGAAGAGGCGAGUGGAAUUCCUGGUGUAGCGGUGAAAUGCGCAGAUAUCAGGAGGAACACCAAUUGCGAAGGCAGCUCGCUGGGACGUUACUGACGCUGAGACGCGAAAGCGUGGGGAGCAAACAGG